rnacentral:rRNA from 1 species
UACAGAGGUCUCAAGCGUUGUUCGGAUUCAUUGGGCGUAAAGGGGGCGUAGGCGGCGCGGUAAGUCGGGUGUGAAAUCUCGGAGCUUAACUCCGAAACUGCAUUCGAUACUGCCGUGCUUGAGGACUGGAGAGGAGACUGGAAUUUACGGUGUAGCGGUGAAAUUCGUAGAUAUUCGCAAGAACACCAGUGGCGAAGGCGGCUCACUGGCCCGAUACUGACGCUGAGGCACGAAAGCGUGGGGAGCAAACAGG